UUCGAUUGACACAUUGAUGAUGUCUCAUAGAAUAUGGUGAGAUGUUCCCACGGGUCAUUAUUUGCAUUCCUGUCGAAUUGCUUAUCCCUCAAACCUAACAUCACAAAGUAUUUGAUGUUGAAAUUAACCGGUGUUGUAGGAAUGAAACCCAAUGAAUCAUGUGAUACGUCAGUAGGUCAACAAUAGUCCCCCAUGGUUUUUGCUAUUGGUUCGUCCAUGAUGAGUGUUUUUACCUGAGUUGCGUAUACACAAACAAGAAAUGCCUCAGUAGC
rnacentral:lncRNA from 1 species